UGUGUCUCGUCCCACAAACUUCCUUGCACUGCUCUAGAUAAUUUCAUCCAAUGCAACGGCUUCAACUUUUUGGAGUUAUUCUUUGACCCAACCGUACGUGAUAGACCUCGUCCCUUUGGUCCUGUUGGUGAACUAGAUUGAGGUCCUGUAGUGCCCGAGACAUUAUUUCCAUCACUUCUGACAGAAAGAGACAUGGGAAAAGCACUGCCUGGUUUUAGACCUUCUUUACCAAAAGGAAUUGGAGGUGGUGGAGCAGGUGGAGACUUUUUUGAUGAAGGAUUAGGGUUGCCAGAGGAAAGUGUUGCAGAGGGAGGUGGAGGCGGUGCUGGUGGUGCUAUAGUAGGACUAGCAACUUCCCUUGAAUGAUGAGGUGGUGGUGGAGGUGGUGGGGGCUUAAACGUAGCAGGUUGCUCCGCUUUUAGAGGAGGUGGCGGAGGAGAAAGUCCAUCUCUUACAUGUGGCUGUUCAUUCAUAGGAGAUGGAAUGGGAGAAGUAGGAGGAGGUCCAGCUUCAACAUGUAGUUCCUUCUUGGGAGGUGAUAGACCUCGUCCCUUUGGUCCUGUUGGUGAACUAGAUUGAGGUCCUGUAGUGCCCGAGACAUUAUUUCCAUCACUUCUGACAGAAAGAGACAUGGGAAAAGCACUGCCUGGUUUUAGACCUUCUUUACCAAAAGGAAUUGGAGGUG
rnacentral:lncRNA from 1 species